rnacentral:rRNA from 1 species
GAACUGAAGAGUUUGAUCAUGGCUCAGAUUGAACGCUGGCGGCAGGCCUAACACAUGCAAGUCGAGCGGAUGAAGGGAGCUUGCUCC